rnacentral:lncRNA from 1 species
AUGCAUCAAUGUGUUAUUUUGUCAGUUGAAGCCUGCCAGGCUGUAGCUCAGGAAGAGAGGCACGUGGAGGAGCAGGGUCACAGAUCCCUCACCAGCAUCAGGAUGUGGAUUAUACUGUUGGGUCUCACCUCUGCAUUACUGGCCUCCUCGAGAUCAGAAGCUACCACAGGUAAGAAGACUCGUCAGAGGAACAAUACACAUCUUUCUUUGAAUUUGAGUAUGAAUGGAGCAGCGCUAAGUGUGUGUCUGAGGACAGAUAAACAGUGCUCACUUGUUUAUUACAGAGGAAAGGGAGAUAUGCUGGGCAGUUGUACAUUUCAGCAUUACAAAAACAAACCAGUAAAGAGCCAGAGGAGUUUAAGCUGUUUGAAAAGCAAGUGAAAGAAUGAUUCUGGUCCCAGAUUUUUCCUCACGUUAAAAUAUUCAGCUUGUGUUGUAGCAUCUCCGUGCCCCUCCAAAAAUGCACUCUCUGUUUUCAUAAGCAGUUACUGUGGUAACAUUUUGUUCUGAGGUUUGUUACAUGUAGUUCUUGGAAACUUUGAUGGUUGACUUGCCAAAUCUGAGUUGGGUGAAUAAAUCUGAUAAAUCUUGCUUCUGUGGUUUAUUAGGGGCCAAGCACCGAAGGUGCUUAGGCACCGAUUGUAUUCGUUAGCGUGAUUUUUUGUCUAAGUCUAUGGCAGCCCAUAGAACCGCUUGCGGGAAAGUUGUGAAAUUUGGCACACUGAUAGAGGACAGUGUCAACAUUAACCAUAGCAAAUUUGGAGUCUCUAACUCCAACUCUCUAGCGCCACCACUUUCAAUAUCUUUAUGCUAAUAACUUUUGAACCAUAAAGCACAGAAGGAAAAUUAUUUUUUCCUCUGAAUCCUUGGCUCAUGCAGAGUCGAAUGGACCCCAAAAAAUCGCAAAUUAGAAAAUCGCAAUGUUUAGUUUUUUCGCUAUUUUCAAUUGUUUAAAAAACCUACUUUUUCGAACUCGUCCUAGACGGUUAGUCUGAUUUUCACGAAAAUUGGUUCAGAUCAUUUUCAGAUGAUGGUGGCAAAAAGUUAUGGAAUUCAAGUUGAUUCGUCCAAUCGUUCUCGAAUACCAUGCAAACAAAUUCUACAAAAAGCACGCAAAAAUGCUUGUGAGGCUAUAACUCCACAACAGUUUGGCAUAUUGAGACCAAACUUGGUGUGUGUUAUAACAAGCAUGACCUGAGAAUACCUUCAGUGUUUGGACGCAGCGCCACCUAGUGGUCAGGAGAUAUGAAAAAUGCAUAUUUUUGCUUAUAACUUCUGAAUGGUUUGGCCAAAAAUCACAAUUUUACCAAUAUUUGCUGAACUUCAUGUCCCCCAUUUUAAUUCAUGUUGACAACCUACUUUUCAAACUCCUCCUAGACCAUUGGUCCGAUUUUCACCAAAUUUGGCUCGGAUCAUCGUCAGACAAAGCUGGCAAAAAGUUAUGGAUUUCAUGUUGCUACACGCAACGGUUUUCGUUUAGCGCAUGAACGAAUUUGCUGGAAAGAUGCCAAACUGCAUCUGAGGGCUGUAUCUCUGUAGAGGUUUGACAUAUUUACACCAAACUUUGUAUGUGUCAUUGUCACCUCACACUGACCACGGCACAUCAAUUUGGUAACAGUGCCACCUAUUGGCAAAGAGUAAUAAACCAUUCAUUAACCCUUAAUUAUAAAAAUUCCAAAAAUGCUAAUAACUUAUGAUUGCAUUAGGCUAUUGUAAUGAAACUGGUCUCAAAAUAUUCCUUGGGUCAUGCUGACAACAGACAUAUCAAUUUUUUUUGUAGGAAAUAUGAACUCCCUGUCCGCCAUUUUGAUUUAUGUUAAAAUACUACUUUUUCUAACUCCUCCUCAACUGUUGGUCUGAUUUUCACCAAAAUCGAGUCAGAUCAUCUUCAGACUGUGCUGACAAAAAGUUAUGCAUUUCAUGUCGAUUGACAAAACCGUUUUCAUACAGCACCGUUACAGAUUUUAGGCACAGUGCCAAAAUGGUUCUGAGGCACAGUGCCAAAAUGGUUCUGAGGCUAUAUCUCUGCAAAGCUUUGACAUAUUUGCACCAAACUUUGUAUGUGUCAUUGUCACCUCACACUGACCAUGCCACAUCAAUUUGGUAACAGCGCCACCUAUUGGUCAAGAGUAAUAAACCAUUCAUUAACCAUUAAUAAUUACAUUUAUAAAAAUGCUAAUAACUUUUUAUUGCAUUAGCUUAUUGCAAUGAAACUCAUCUCAAAAUAUGCUGUGGCUUAUGCCGACAACAUAGAUACCAAAUAUGUCAGAGUAAGCUGAACUUCCUUUCCGGCAUUUUGAUUUAUGUUGAAAACCUACUUUUUCAAACUCCUCAUCAACAGUUGGUUUGAUUUUCACCAAAAUCGAGCCAGAUGAUCUUCAGACUGUGCUGACUAAAAGUUAUGGAUUUUGUGUUGAUAGACAAAACCGUUUUCGCAUACUACUA